rnacentral:rRNA from 1 species
UACAGAGGCCUCGAGCGUUAGGCGGAAUCACUGGGCUUAAAGCGUGUGUAGGCGGACUUCUAAGUACCUUGUGAAAUCCCACGGCUUACCCGUGGAACGGCUGGGGUAUACUGGUUGUCUUGAGCCACUUAGGGGCUACCGGAACAAAUGGUGGAGCGGUGAAAUGCGUAGAUAUCAUUUGGACGCCAAUGGUGAAAACAGGUAGCUGGGAGUGUGCUGACGCUGAGACACGAAAGCCAGGGGAGCGAACGGG